GUGAAAUUUCCACAAGAAAAAGACUGUGUGGCAGCCGUGCCCCUUUCAUGGCUGUCGGAAAAUCGUGCGGUCUGCCACUGGCCAUCAAAAGAUGCAGGCCUGGAUGCUCUGGAACUGGCCAAGCAGGAGGCUUCACCAGGCACUGUGGAGGAAGGGUGGGAGCCCUUUCCAGUUGAUGUACUGGGAACUUCGAGCACCUACCAAAGAGCAGAGAAAAAGCUUACCAAGUGGAUACACACAUGUUCCAUUGAGUCCUCGGAGAUUUCCGACAAUGCAGUACCGGUAGAAAGGAGAGCAGAGGCGACUCAUUCC